rnacentral:rRNA from 1 species
AUUGAACGCUGGCGGCAUGCCUUACACAUGCAAGUCGAACGGCAGCACGGGAGCAAUCCUGGUGGCGAGUGGCGAACGGGUGAGUAAUAUAUCGGAACGUGCCCAGUCGUGGGGGAUAACGUAGCGAAAGCUACGCUAAUACCGCAUACGAUCUAUGGAUGAAAGCGGGGGAUCGCAAGACCUCGCGCGAUUGGAGCGGCCGAUAUCAGAUUAGGUAGUUGGUGGGGUAAAGGCUCACCAAGCCGACGAUCUGUAGCUGGUCUGAGAGGACGACCAGCCACACUGGGACUGAGACACGGCCCAGACCCCUACGGGAGGCAGCAGUGGGGAAUUUUGGACAAUGGGCGCAAGCCUGAUCCAGCAAUGCCGCGUGCAGGAUGAAGGCCUUCGGUUGUAAACUGCUUUUGUACGGAGCGAAAAGGCUUCCACUAAUACUGGGGGCUCAUGACGGUACCGUAAGAAUAAGCACCGGCUAACUACGUGCCAGCAGCCGCCGUAACAC